AGACCCCAAAACCUACUGUUUAGAAUUUGAAUGUUAACUAUUCCUCCUAUCUUAUCAUUCAGCUGAUCAUUGGAACAGUGCAGUUUCAAUGCACUGUUUGUUUAAUAAAGCAAAGAAAAAAUGUGACUUUUUUUGCAUCUGAGUUACAGUUGAGAAAUUAAAUUCAGCUUGUAACAUAUUCAGACCAUCCUCAAGAAUACAUUUUACAUCUUGGAUCAUUUUUCCCCCUCAGGUACAUGCAGCGGCAGUGAAAAUUUGCAGGAUUUCAACAGCGUAACAGGAAAUUUCACCCAUUCAUUUCACUGGCAAUGCUGCAAGAUACUUCACAACCAGCACCUUUUGUGCUCAAGUACCGCUAACAACAGAUCAGCCAUAGAAGAGUAGGAGUACAACUGUGCAUGAAAGAUUUCAGUUGGAAGAAGCUUUGGAUACAAUCUUCCAGAAGGAACCAACACCUUGUAAGGAUAAAAUUAGAGAUGAGAUGUUAAUUUCUGAAAUCCAAAUCUGUUGCUAAAAUGUGAAUAAACAAAAUGAUCUGCCAAUUUUAUGACCCA
rnacentral:lncRNA from 1 species